GAAUCAGUGGGGUAAGAAGAACUUGUUGAGCUUGACUCUAGUCCGACUCUGUGAAGAGACAUGGCAGGUGUAGUAAUAAGUGGGAGGCGGGAAUCACCCUUCGGGGUCUCUCGUUUGACAAUGGAAGACCACUCCCAACAUUGUUUCUUUACUUUUUCAGUUAAGCGGGAACUGUCAUUUAUUUUCCAUGUUGGCAUUAAGCACACGCUAGUGAGUUGGUCGCACCCCGUGUGUGGCUGGCGUGCCGGCGUUUUGGUUGCAACUGUCUUGCCAGAGCUAGUGAUAUGCGUGUUUUGCCCUCUUCUGUCUGUAAGUUGUUGCCGCAAGGUGGCAGUCCAUAGCUUGUAGACGGUGGGCGCGUGUGUCCGGUCUUGGUGCUAUCAGGCAGUUUUGGCGACGUGCAACCCGAUCUGAAGACAAUGUCAGGUGGGGUGUUUGACUGGGGUGGUACAUAUGUCAAAUCGUAACGCAGGUGUCCCAAGGUGAACUCAGCCAGGACAGAAACCUGGCGUAGAGUAAAAGGGCGAAAGCUUACUUGCUUUUGAUUCUCAGGAAGAAUACAGGCCGCGAAAGCGUGGCCUAGGGAUCCUUUUGAUCAACUGAUAUUCAGAUUUUGAAGUAAGUGGUGUCAGAAAAGUUAUCACAGGGGUAACUGGCUUUUGGUGGCCAAGCGUGCAUAGCGACGUCAUUUUUUUAUCCUUCGAUGUCAGCUCUUCCUCUCAUUGUGAAGCAGAAUUCACCAAGCGUUGGAUUGUUCACCCACUAAUAGGGAAUUUGAGCUGGGUUUAGAACUUCGUGAGAUAGGUAAGUUUUACUCUACUGAGGUUGAACUGUGUAAACAGUGAAGUAAAAUCUGUUCGUUGCAAUGGUUAUCCUGUUUAGUAAGAGAGGAACCGCAGCUACAGACAUUUGGUACAUGUGCCUGGUUGAGCGGCCAAUGGCACGAAGCUACCAUCUGAGGGAUUAAAACUGAACGCCUCUAAGCCUGAAUUCCGUCCAGAGAUGCGCAACGAUACAGCUUGGCCUGCCACGUGGUUGGGCAGAUAUAGAACUUUCCGGUCAGGUUUCAUUCGGAUAGGGCCAGCAUGCCCAACCGAACCUGAUUGGUCCCGUACAGUUAUACCAGAGCUGUGACCAUAACCACAUGCACCGGGCCAUGGUGUUGUGGGUGUCGACACGAUAUCCAAUUGUGGUAUGAGCGUGGCGGCACUAAAUCUUUUGUAAAUGUUUUAAUGUUUUGUCGGAAAGACGUGAGAAAUUGAGCAGCUAUCACACUGCGAGGUAUUGAGUCCUAUCCCUACCCCACGUGAGGAUAU
rnacentral:ncRNA from 1 species